AUGCUACCGGACAAGUUUGUUGCCAGCGGUAUCAUCACUAAGCUUCCUCCUUCAUGCAGGAACUUUGCUACCUUACUGAAACAUAAGAGACAGGAGUUUUCCGUUUCGGAUCUCAUUGGUACUCUUGAUGUGGAAGAAAAGGAGAGAGCAAAGGACACACGUGCUCGAGGUAUUGAGGGAGGAUCUAGUGCCAAUGUGGUACAGAAACAGAACUUCCAGCCCCACAAGUUCAAGAACAAGGGCAAGUUUGAUGGUAAAGCAAAGUUUGAUGGGAAAAACAAGGCUGUGCAACACACGAACUUCAAAAAGAAGAAUGGCAAGAAGAAAGGUGCUUGUCAUCUGUGUGGAGAUCCUGAUCAUUGGGCUCCUAGUUGCCCUAAUCGCUAUGACAAGCGUCAUCCUAGGAAAGGCGGCAAGACCGCUAAUGUUGUCAUUGGAGACACUGACAUGAAGGAUGCUGGGUAUGGUAUAUUUCCCACGAUUCUUUCAGUAUGUCAUUCUCCUGACUGGUUGAUUGACACGGGUGCUAAUGUGCAUGUAUGCGAUGAUAUUUCCAUAUGUUUUCGUCUUAUCAGACCGCAGGGACUUCAACCGUGCUGA
rnacentral:rRNA from 1 species